rnacentral:rRNA from 1 species
GACGAACGCUGGCGGCGUGCUUAACACAUGCAAGUCGAACGAAGUGGGAACGGGUGAGUAAUACGUGGGUACCCUCCCUCCUUUUAGGGAUAAGCCUUGGAAACGGGGUCUAAACCGCAUCGAUGGACUCGCGGCCUAUCAGCUUGGUGGUGGGGUGAUGGCCUACCAAGGCGGUGACGGGUAGCCGGCCUGAGCGGGUGACUGGCCACAUUGGGACUGAGACACGGCCCAGACUCCUACGGGAGGCAGCAGUGGGGAAUCUUCCGCAAUGGACGAAAGUCUGACGGAGCAACGCGGCGUGAGUGAUGACGGCCUUCGGGUUGUAAAGCUCUGUUAAUCGGGACGCGGUACCGGAAUAGAAAGCCACGGCGAACUACGUGCCAGCCGCCGCGGUAAUAC